AGCGAACGCUGGCGGCAGGCCUAACACAUGCAAGUCGAACGAACCUUUCGGGGUUAGUGGCGGACGGGUGAGUAACACGUGGGAACGUGCCUUUAGGUUCGGAAUACCUCAGGGAAACUUUUGCUAAUACCGAAUGUGCCCUUCGGGGGAAAGAUUAAUCGCCUUUAGAGCGGCCCGCGUCUGAUUAGCUAGUUGGUUGAGUUAAUGGCUCACCAAGGCGACGAUCAGUAGCUGGUCUGAGAGGAUGAUCAGCCACAUUGGGACUGAGACACGGCCCAAACUCCUACGGGAGGCAGGAGUGGGGAAUCUAGCGCAAUGGGCGAAAGCCUGACGCAGCCAUGCCGCGUGAAUGAUGAAGGUCGUAGGAUUGUAAAAUUCUUUCACCGGGGACGAUAAUGACGGUACCCGGAGAAGAAGCCACGGCUAACUUCGUG
rnacentral:rRNA from 1 species